UGGAGUGUAGCGCGUUUGCCUUGUAAGCAUUAGGUCGCGGGUUUGAUUCCCGCCGCUCCGG
rnacentral:tRNA from 1 species